rnacentral:rRNA from 1 species
UAAAGGGCCGCGGUAUAUUGACCGUGCAAAGGUAGCAUAAUCAUUAGUCUUCUAAUUAAAGGCUGGAAUGAAUGGUUGGACGAGGUAUUAGCUGUCUCCCUAAAAUUAACUAAAAUUUAACUUUUUAGUCAAAAGGCUGAAAUAGAGUUGGAGGACGAGAAGACCCUAUAGAUCUUUAUAUUUAAACUAUUUAACCACUUUAGACGGCUUAAGGUUUAAUAAGUCAAAUAUUUUGUUGGGGUGACAGGAAGAUAAUAAAAACUAUUUUUAUAAAAAUAACAUUGAUGUAUGAAUAAAUGAUCCGUUAAAGCGAUUAAAAGACUAAGUUACCUUAGGGAUAACAGCGUAAUCUUUUUUGAGAGUUCUAAUCGACAAAAAGGGUUGCGACCUCGAUGUUGGACUAAGGGUUAUUCUUGGGUGUAGAAGUUCAAGGUUUAGGUCUGUUCGACCUUUGAAUCCUUACAU